rnacentral:rRNA from 1 species
UACGUAGGGGCCUAGCGUUGUCCGGAAUUAUUGGGCGUAAAGCGCACGUAGGCGGUUCGUUAUGUCAGAUGUGAAAGCCCUUGGCUCAACUGAGGAAGUGCAUCUGAAACUGGCGAGCUAGAGUAUGUAGGAGGGUCGCGGAAUUCCCGGUGUAGAGGUGAAAUUCGUAGAUAUCGGGAGGAACACCGGUGGCGAAGGCGGCGACCUGGGACAAUACUGACGCUGAGGUGCGAAAGCGUGGGGAGCAAACAGG